rnacentral:lncRNA from 1 species
CUAAGAACUUGCACUGGGAAAUACUUCCAGAAUAAGUCAGUGAAAAUGGAAGCUAAGAGCAUCUGAAGACCAGAGCCAGGAGGGAGAGCCUAGACCAAGAGUCAAGAAACUUUGCCUGAAAAGAGUCAAGCAGCAUUACAGAACCCAGAACAUCCGAUGACUUUCCGAUAAUUUUAGAAGGUAUAUCCUUUGCUCUGAGGCAUUGUGUCUGGCAGUCACCUUGGAUUCUAGGAACAGCAUCUGAUUGAUGAACAACUUGUGAUGGGUUAAAACUACCAUGUAGGCAACAGCAGCUUUGUUAUCAUGCCAAGAAGCACCUUCUCUACCACCAGUCCUGAGAUAGUGAUCACUCAGCCUUUCGACCAAGUCUGCUUGACCGUGUAGACUUUUGGUCCUCUUGUCUACAUAAUCCGGGAGUUCAUGUCAGUACCCCGAAGACAGAGCUGGAAGCAUGGAUCCCUAUGUCUUCCUUGUGAAGCCACACUGAUCAAAGUUCCUUCCCUGUCUUCACCAUCACUUUUUGCUUGAUUUCUUUGAAGCAAAUGGCCAGAUCUGAUGUGUUGGGACCCCCAGAUCUGGGGUUGAUGGGACCCCUCUACUUUAGGACUCCCAUAACAGAUUCUCUCUGACACUCUGUCCUGCUGUCUUACCCCAAGGCAAGCCAUGAAAAGCAGAAUUACUCUUCCUCAAGGCAGGUCAGAGCUUAUCUCCAAAGCCAGCCAUGAAACCUAAAAACAUGACUCUUAACUCCCCCCACUUUUCUGAGUAAGAGUUGGCCAUGAAAAAAUUUUCUGAUCCAGCUUGUUUUGAUUGUAGGUCAUAAGACCCCCAUUCCAGGAGGGUUCUGCCCCAUACUUGAAAGGAAGAACUGCUGCAGAGAGAGGCCAAAAUUAUUCUUAAAAGACGAUCUUGUGCUACCCCCUCCCGCCAUGUCUAUUACCAGCAGAUCAUGCCCUUUUUAUCUUAGUGAGAUGGGAAUUAGUGAGAUAGGAGUUAGGAUUCUACUAGGCAGUAAGGAUAUUGGGCCGCAAAUGGAGUCAGCUGAGUCAUGACCCUCCCGGGACCUUACAAAAACACCUGCCAGGUGUCCUGUAGCUGUCAGGGACCUCCCCAGAGCAUGAUCAGGGGGGCCAUUGGCCUCUACAUGGACAUUACAUGAGCAUUGCAUAGAUUAGACACUGAAAAGUGUAGUUUCCUAUACGUAGAGAGCAUAUGGCUUGCCCAAUGGCCUGAGCUCCCUUCCAAACCCCUUAAGAACCCAUAGAAAAGGGUCUUCAUGAAUAUUCUGCUCAUGACCCUUUCCUGGCUAGUGUGAGCUUUACCUCCUUGCCUUAAUAUCUUUUAAAUAAAUUUGGGCUGAUACUCUUAAGUGAAAUAAAUAGGACACACGUGUAAAUACCAAAUAGUUUCUCUGGUGUGAGAAACUGAAAAUGUAAAUGAGGACCAAAAUGUAUAAUAGAUAAUGUGAAACAGGAAGAAAAGGG